AGAGUUUGAUCCUGGCUCAGGACGAACGCUGGCGGCACGCUUAACACAUGCAAGUCGAACGAGAGAAGAGGAGCUUGCUUUUCUGAUCUAGUGGCGGACGGGUGAGUAACACGUGAGCAAUCUGCCUUUCAGAGGGGGAUACCGAUUGGAAACGAUCGUUAAUACCGCAUAACAUAAUUGAACCGCAUGAUUUGAUUAUCAAAGAUUUAUCGCUGAAAGAUGAGCUCGCGUCUGAUUAGCUAGUUGGUAAGGUAACGGCUUACCAAGGCGACGAUCAGAAGCCGGACUGAGAGGUUGAUCGGCCACAUUGGGACUGAGACACGGCCCAGACUCCUACGGGAGGCAGCAGUGGGGAAUAUUGCACAAUGGAGGAAACUCUGAUGCAGCGAUGCCGCGUGAGGGAAGAAGGUUUUAGGAUUGUAAACCUCUGUCUUCAGGGACGAAAAAAGACGGUACCUGAGGAGGAAGCUCCGGCUAACUACGUGCCAGCAGCCGCGGUAAUACGUAGGGAGCGAGCGUUGUCCGGAAUUACUGGGUGUAAAGGGAGCGUAGGCGGGAUCGCAAGUCAGAUGUGAAAACUAUGGGCUUAACCCAUAAACUGCAUUUGAAACUGUGGUUCUUGAGUGAAGUAGAGGUAAGCGGAAUUCCUAGUGUAGCGGUGAAAUGCGUAGAUAUUAGGAGGAACAUCAGUGGCGAAGGCGGCUUACUGGGCUUUAACUGACGCUGAGGCUCGAAAGCGUGGGGAGCAAACAGGAUUAGAUACCCUGGUAGUCCACGCCGUAAACGAUGAUUACUAGGUGUGGGAGGACUGACCCCUUCCGUGCCGCAGCAAACGCAAUAAGUAAUCCACCUGGGGAGUACGACCGCAAGGUUGAAACUCAAAGGAAUUGACGGGGGCCCGCACAAGCAGUGGAGUAUGUGGAUUAAUUCGAAGCAACGCGAAGAACCUUACCAGGUCUUGACAUCGUAUGCAUAGCUCAGAGAUGAGUGAAAUCUCUUCGGAGACAUAUAGACAGGUGGUGCAUGGUUGUCGUCAGCUCGUGUCGUGAGAUGUUGGGUUAAGUCCCGCAACGAGCGCAACCCUUACUGUUAGUUGCUACGCAAGAGCACUCUAGCAGGACUGCCGUUGACAAAACGGAGGAAGGUGGGGAUGACGUCAAAUCAUCAUGCCCCUUAUGACCUGGGCCUCACACGUACUACAAUGGCUGUCAACAGAGGGAAGCAAAGCCGCGAGGUGGAGCGAACCCCUAAAAGCAGUCUUAGUUCGGAUUGUAGGCUGCAACCCGCCUACAUGAAGUCGGAAUUGCUAGUAAUCGCAGAUCAGCAUGCUGCGGUGAAUACGUUCCCGGGCCUUGUACACACCGCCCGUCACGCCAUGGGAGUCGGUAACACCCGAAGCCUGUAGUCUAACCGCAAGGAGGACGCAGUCGAAGGUGGGAUUGAUGACUGGGGUGAAGUCGUAACAAGGUA
rnacentral:rRNA from 1 species